rnacentral:lncRNA from 1 species
UUAUUCUACAUAUAUCCCUACUAAUAUCGCCAACCAGAUGAGUGUUCGAACGAGAAUUCGUGAUAGACAAGCGCAUUAACAACUAAUAGGUGAUUUGGUUGAACAUAUAUGGCGUAAAUUCAGAGGUGAUCAAGACAACAACUGAGCUUCGAUGCCGCUUUGAAAUUAUUAUCGUUCAUUUACGUAAUAUUUGUUUUAAUGUUUUUAUGUUCUAUUUUAAAAUCUAUGCUUAAAAUGUUAUGUUUGACUUUGUUUUAUUUAAUAAAUAAAUUUA